CAGCCAUGGCGCGUGCUAUACUGCAAGUAGAACGCUGAGGAUGGCGCUUGCCUAAUCCGAGAGUUGCCAACGGGUGAGUAGCGCGUAGGGAACCUACCUCAUAGCGGGAGAUAACUAUUGGAAACGAUAGCUAAUACCGCAUGAUACUAGAGUACACAUGUACUUAAUUUAAAAGGAGCAAUUGCUUCACUAUGAGAUGGACCUGCGUUGUAUUAUCUACGUGGUGAGGUAACGGCUCCCCAAGGUGACGAUACAUAGCCGACCUGAGAGGGAGAUCGGCCACUCUGGGACUGACACCCCCCCCAUACUCCUACGGGAGGCCGCAGGAGGGAAUCUUCGGCCAUGCACAGAGGUGUGACCGAACAACGCCGCGUGAGUGAAGAAGGUUUUCGGAUCGUAAAUCUCUGUUGUUAGAGAGAACGGUAAUGGGAGUGGAAAAUCCAUUACGUGACGGUAACUAACCAGAAAGGGACGGCUAACUACGUGCCAGCAGCCGCGGUAAUACGUAGGUCUCGAGCGUUGUCCGGAUUUAUUGGGCGUAAAGCGAGCGCAGGCGGUUCUAUAAGUCUGAAGUAAAAGGCAGUGGCUCAACCAUUGUAUGCUUUGGAGACUGUAGAACUUGAGUGCAGAAGGAGAGAGUGAAAUUCCAUGUGUACCGGAGAUAUGCGUAUAUAUAUGGAGGAACCCCGGUGGCGAAAGCGGCUCUCUGGUCUGUAUCUGACGCUGAGGCUCGAAAGCGUGACGAGCAAACAGGAUUAGAUACCCUGGUACCUCCACGCCGUAAACGAUGAGUGCUAUGUGAUAGGCCCUUUCCGGCUCUCAGUGCCGCAGCUAACGUAUUAAGCACUCCGCCUGGGGAGUACGACCCGCCUGCUGAAACUCAAGAGAAUUGACAGCGCCCGCACAGUGUGGACCAUGAGUUUAGUUCGAAGCACGAGAGACCAUUACAGGCUUGACGUCCCUCUGACGCCUAGAUAUAUGAUUUUCUUCG
rnacentral:rRNA from 1 species